UAUUGCUCUAGGGUAGACUCUAGGUGUAUGUACCAGGUAGUAUUGCUCUAGGGUAGACUCUAGGUGUAUGUACCAGGUAGUAUUGCUCUAGGGUAGACUCUAGGUGUGUGUACCAGGUAGUAUUGCUCUAGGGUAGACUCUAGGUGUAUGUACCAGGUAGUAUUGCUCUAGGGUAGACUCUAGGUGUAUGUACCAGGUAGUAUUGCUCUAGGGUAGACUCUAGGUGUGUGUACCAGGUAGUAUUGCUCUAGGGUAGACUCUAGGUGUAUGUACCAGGUAGUAUUGCUCUAGGGUAGACUCUAGGUGUGUGUACCAGGUAGUAUUGCUCUAGGGUAGACUCUAGGUGUAUGUACCAGGUAGUAUUGCUCUAGG